GACGUAGGGCGCGAGCGUGGUCCGGAUUUAUUGGGCGUAAAGAGCUCGUAGGCGGCUUGUCGCGUCGUCCGUGAAAACCUGGGGCUCAACUCCAGGCUUGCGGCCGAUACGGGCAGGCUCGAGUUCGGUAGGGGAGACUGGAAUUCCUGGUGUAGCGGUGAAAUGCGCAGAUAUCAGGAGGAACACCGGUGGCGAAGGCGGGUCUCUGGGCCGAUACUGACGCUGAGGAGCGAAAGCGUGGGGAUCAAACAGG
rnacentral:rRNA from 1 species